CACGUAGGGGGCGAGCGUUGUCCGGAUUUAUUGGGCGUAAAGAGCUCGUAGGCGGUUAGGAAAGUCGGGUGUGAAAGCUCGAGGCUCAACCUCGAGACGCCACUCGAUACUUCCUUGACUGGAGUCCGGUAGAGGAGUGCGGAAUUCCUGGUGUAGCGGUGAAAUGCGCAGAUAUCAGGAGGAACACCAACGGCGAAGGCAGCACUCUGGGCCGGUACUGACGCUGAGGAGCGAAAGCGUGGGGAGCAAACAGGAUUAGAAACCCCCGUAGUCC
rnacentral:rRNA from 1 species